AUUGAACGCUGGCGGCAUGCCUUACACAUGCAAGUCGAACGGCAGCACGGGGCAACCUGGUGGCGAGUGGCGAACGGGUGGGUAAUGCAUCGGAACGUACCUUUCAGUGGGGGAUAAUGUAGCGAAAGUUACGCUAAUACCGCAUAUUCUGUGAGAAGGAAAGCAGGGGAUCGCAAGACCUUGCGCUGAUUGAGCGGCCGAGGUCAGAUUAGCUAGUUGGUGAGGUAAAGGCUCACCAAGGCGACGAUCUGUAGCGGGUCUGAGAGGAUGAGCCGCCACACUGGAACUGGGACACGGUCCAGACUCCUACGGGAGGCAGCAGUGGGGAAUUUUGGACAAUGGGGGCAACCCUGAUCCAGCCAUGCCGCGUGAGUGAAGAAGGCCUUCGGGUUGUAAAGCUCUUUCGGCCGGGAAGAAAUCGCACGGGCUAAUACCCUGUGUGGAUGACGGUACCGGAAUAAGAAGCACCGGCUAACUACGUGCCAGCCGCCGCUGUAACAC
rnacentral:rRNA from 1 species